CUUGCUUCUCUUGAGAGCGGCGGACGGGUGAGUAAUGCCUAGGAAUCUGCCUGGUAGUGGGGGAUAACGUCCGGAAACGGACGCUAAUACCGCAUACGUCCUACGGGAGAAAGCAGGGGACCUUCGGGCCUUGCGCUAUCAGAUGAGCCUAGGUCGGAUUAGCUAGUUGGUGGGGUAAUGGCUCACCAAGGCGACGAUCCGUAACUGGUCUGAGAGGAUGAUCAGUCACACUGGAACUGAGACACGGUCCAGACUCCUACGGGAGGCAGCAGUGGGGAAUAUUGGACAAUGGGCGAAAGCCUGAUCCAGCCAUGCCGCGUGUGUGAAGAAGGUCUUCGGAUUGUAAAGCACUUUAAGUUGGGAGGAAGGGCAGUAAAUUAAUACUUUGCUGUUUUGACGUUACCGACAGAAUAAGCACCGGCUAACUCUGUGCCAGCAGCCGCGGUAAUACAGAGGGUGCAAGCGUUAAUCGGAAUUACUGGGCGUAAAGCGCGCGUAGGUGGUUCGUUAAGUUGGAUGUGAAAUCCCCGGGCUCAACCUGGGAACUGCAUUCAAAACUGACGAGCUAGAGUAUGGUAGAGGGUGGUGGAAUUUCCUGUGUAGCGGUGAAAUGCGUAGAUAUAGGAAGGAACACCAGUGGCGAAGCGACCACCUGGACUGAUACUGACACUGAGGUGCGAAAGCGUGGGGAGCAA
rnacentral:rRNA from 1 species